CUCCCUAAUGAACGCCAUCAGCACCAUAGAGGAGGCCAUGGAUGCGGAUGACACGCUGUUUCUGAAGGCCCUGAUGACCUUUGGCCGCAACACGGCAGGUGGCUGCAUGGCGGUGUCGGACGACCUGCUGACCGCGCACUACACAGAGGACUACCAGGAGCAGCAGCUGCCCGACAACCCCGAGCGACUACAGUAAAUGUUGAUGAUGGUGCAGCUCCUGUGUGGACAUGCUCUGUUACAACAACACAACACAGAGCCAGAAGACGAAGCCGUAACAUAAGCAGCAGUUGCUGUUGAAUGACCGUGCUGACCUCCAAGCUGAGCUAUGGCAAGGCAGUGAACACAUCAGUGGUAAGCUUCUCCAUACACCUUCAUUGUCUUUGUCCUCACCCAUCGAAAUUGUCAAGCUGUUUGCUCAUUAUUGCUGAGCAUUGUAUAUUCCUCAUAACUCAUCGAGACGUGUUAAUGCCAAAGCCCUUUUGAAAAGUAACAUUUUGAAAAAUACUUCAAUAAACACAAAAUAUAU